rnacentral:rRNA from 1 species
AGUGGGGAAAUAUUGGAACAAGGGGGGCAACCUUGAUUCCAGCCAAUCCCGCGUGUGUGAAAGAAGGCCUUGAGGUUUGUAAAGCCCUUUCAAUAGGGACGAAGGUCAUAAUGUUAAUAGCAUUGUGAAUUGACAUUAACCUAUACAAGAAGCACCGGCUAACUCUGUGCCAGCAGCCGCGGUAAUACAGAGGGUGCAAGCGUUAAUCGGAAUUACUGGGCGUAAAGCGCGCGUAGGCGGUUGUGUAAGUUGAAUGUGAAAGCCCCGGGCUUAACCUGGGAAUGCCAUUCAAAACUGCGUAACUAGAAUGUGAUAGAGGACAGUGGAAUUCCUAGUGUAGCGGUGAAAUGCGUAGAUAUUAGGAGGAACAUCAGUGGCGAAGGCGACUGUCUGGGUUAACAUUGACGCUGAGGUGCGAAAGCGUGGGUAGCGAACGGGAUUAGAUACCCCGGUAGUCCACGCCGUAAACGAUGAGAACUAGAUGUUGGUUUCAUAAAAGAGAUUAGUAUCGUAGCUAACGCGUUAAGUUCUCCGCCUGGGGAGUACGGCCGCAAGGUUAAAACUCAAAUGAAUUGACGG